rnacentral:lncRNA from 1 species
CACCUAGUUUUUCUAGAGAUAAUCAUAAGUAUUUUGUCACAUUCAUUGAUGAAAAAUCUAAAUACACCUGGUUAACACUCAUUCCAUCAAAAGAUAGGGUGAUAGAUGCAUUCAAGAACUUUCAAGCUUAUGUGACUAACCACUAUCAUGCUAGGAUUAAAAUUUUGAGAUCAGAUGAUGUGACCUUGUUCAGGAACAAGCAAAUCAAGAGAAGUCCAAAAAAAAGAAAGGCUCACCAAGAAAAUACAAGCCAAUGUCGUAUAAUAUAUCAAUCUGACGGCAAUUCAGAGACCGUCGAUCAUGCAAAAGGAUGCGACCAGCCAAGGAAUUCUGCGAACACAAUUUCCAAAAUUCAGUCAACAGUCUUGGUCUUUGGUCAAGUCAAUAUUCCUAGUCAAGUCUUCAUAGUUUUAAGAGCUUUAUAGUUUCAAGGAUUGACUAGAUUAUUUAAUUCUACAGAUUGCCUAUUAUAUAAAGGCUUGCUUUGUAUGUUUUUAUUCAUUCAACCCUUUUAAUAAAAAUCUACUUUUUAAAUUUGUUGAAUCCUUUGUUCUUUGGAACAUCGUAAUGCUACGAGAGUGAUCUCCGUAAGCACGGUCUUGUUCACUAGUGGGGCUGCCUCUCACGGACUAAGACCAACCCAGCAAGUAUCUGGCCUUCCGCAGCCUUAUACUGAAGAACCAUCGAUCCACCUUUCCUUUAAUCCAUCUUUGGGUCAAAGCUUAUCCUUUUCACCAACCUUCGAGUGCAUUCCUUGGGAGAUUUUCUAUUAUUUGGUAUCAGAGCACACUUGAGGGUUCGGUGUUAACUUAUGUCAUUCAUCAUUCUCAUCUUUCCAUCUUCUACAAAAAAAAAAAAAAAAAUCCACGAGAAAACAAGAGAUCAUUCCAUCUGAAGUUAAACCGAGACUGCUCCUCCAUCUCUCGUAAUGGCUCUAGGAGAUUGCUUCUCCAAAAGCAACCUGUUUUGAUCACUAGUGGGGCUGCCUCUCACGGUCACAGGUUCUAAACAUUAAGUCGGAUUUGAGGGCAAAUCCUUUUGAAGGAGGAGGGGAUGAUGUGACCUUGUUCAGGAACAAGCAAAUCAAGAGAAGUCCAAAAAAAAGAAAGGCUCACCAAGAGAAUACAAGCCAAUGUCGUAUAAUAUAUCAAUCUGACGGCAAUUCAGAGACCGUCGAUCAUGCAAAAGGAUGCGACCAGCCAAGGAAUUCUGCGAACACAAUUUCCAAAAUUCAGUCAACAGUCUUGGUCUUUGGUCAAGUCAAUAUUCCUAGUCAAGUCUUCAUAGUUUUAAGAGCUUUAUAGUUUCAAAGAUUGACUAGAUUAUUUAAUUUUACAGAUUGCCUAUUAUAUAAAGGUUUGCUUUGUAUUGUUUUUAUUCAUUCAACCCUUUUAAUAAAAAUCUACUUUUUAAAUUUGUUGAAUCCUUUGUUCUUUGGAACAUCGUAAUGCUACGAGAGUGAUCUCUGUAAGCACGGUCUUGUUCACUAGUGGGGCUGCCUCUCACGGACUAAGACCAACCCAGCAAGUAUCUGGCCUUCCGCAGCCUUAUACUGAAGAACCAUCGAUCCACCUUUCCUUUAAUCCAUCUUUGGGUCAAAGCUUAUCCUUUUCACCAACCUUCGAGUGCAUUCCUUGGGAUAUUUUCUAUUAUUGAUGAUGUGACCUUGUUCAGGAACAAGCAAAUCAAGAGAAGUCCAAAAAAAAGAAAUGCUCACCAAGAGAAUACAAGCCAAUGUCGUAUAAUAUAUCAAUCUGACGGCAAUUCAGAGACCGUCGAUCAUGCAAAAGGAUGCGACCAGCCAAGGAAUUCUGCGAACACAAUUUCCAAAAUUCAGUCAACAGUCUUGGUCUUUGGUCAAGUCAAUAUUCCUAGUCAAGUCUUCAUAGUUUUAAGAGCUUUAUAGUUUCAAGGAUUGACUAGAUUAUUUAAUUUUACAGAUUGCCUAUUAUAUAAAGGUUUGCUUUGUAUUGUUUUUAUUCAUUCAACCCUUUUAAUAAAAAUCUACUUUUUAAAUUUGUUGAAUCCUUUGUUCUUUGGAACAUCGUAAUGCUACGAGAGUGAUCUCUGUAAGCACGGUCUUGUUCACUAGUGGGGCUGCCUCUCACGGACUAAGACCAACCCAGCAAGUAUCUGGCCUUCCGCAGCCUUAUACUGAAGAACCAUCGAUCCACCUUUCCUUUAAUCCAUCUUUGGGUCAAAGCUUAUCCUUUUCACCAACCUUCGAGUGCAUUCCUUGGGAUAUUUUCUAUUAUUUGGUAUCAGAGCACACUUGAGGGUUCGGUGUUCACUUCUGUCAUUCAUCAUUCUCAUCUUUCCAUCUUCUACAAAAAAAAAAAAAAAAAAAAUCCACGAGAAAACAAGAGAUCAUUCCAUCUGAAGUUAAACCGAGACUGCUCCUCCAUCUCUCGUAAUGGCUCUAGGAGAUUGCUUCUCCAAAAGCAACCUGUUUUGAUCACUAGUGGGGCUGCCUCUCACGGUCACAGGUUCUAAACAUUAAGUCGGAUUUGAGGGCAAAUCCUUUUGAAGGAGGAGGGGAUGAUGUGACCUUGUUCAGGAACAAGCAAAUCAAGAGAAGUCCAAAAAAAAAGAAAGGCUCACCAAGAAAAUACAAGCCAAUGUCGUAUAAUAUAUCAAUCUGACGGCAAUUCAGAGACCGUCGAUCAUGCAAAAGGAUGCGACCAGCCAAGGAAUUCUGCGAACACAAUUUCCAAAAUUCAGUCAACAGUCUUGGUCUUUGGUCAAGUCAAUAUUCCUAGUCAAGUCUUCAUAGUUUUAAGAGCUUUAUAGUUUCAAGGAUUGACUAGAUUAUUUAAUUCUACAGAUUGCCUAUUAUAUAAAGGCUUGCUUUGUAUUGUUUUUAUUCAUUCAACCCUUUUAAUAAAAAUCUACUUUUUAAAUUUGUUGAAUCCUUUGUUCUUUGGAACAUCGUAAUGCUACGAGAGUGAUCUCCGUAAGCACGGUCUUGUUCACUAGUGGGGCUGCCUCUCACGGACUAAGACCAACCCAGCAAGUAUCUGGCCUUCCGCAGCCUUAUACUGAAGAACCAUCGAUCCACCUUUCCUUUAAUCCAUCUUUGGGUCAAAGCUUAUCC